rnacentral:ncRNA from 1 species
CUGAUGGGCGCGUCCGGGUCAAUUGCGGUCUGCAACACCCAAUCUCGCUACCGGUGCCGGAUGGACUGGCAGCCGGCGAGCGUGAGCGCGUCACCGUCAG